GAUGAACGCUGGCGGCGUGCCUAAUACAUGCAAGUCGAGCGAACGGACGAGAAGCUUGCUUCUCUGAUGUUAGCGGCGGACGGGUGAGUAACACGUGGAUAACCUACCUAUAAGACUGGGAUAACUUCGGGAAACCGGAGCUAAUACCGGAUAAUAUUUUGAACCGCAUGGUUCAAAAGUGAAAGACGGUCUUGCUGUCACUUAUAGAUGGAUCCGCGCUGCAUUAGCUAGUUGGUAAGGUAACGGCUUACCAAGGCAACGAUGCAUAGCCGACCUGAGAGGGUGAUCGGCCACACUGGAGCUGAGACACGGUCCAGACUCCUACGGGAGGCAGCAGUAGGGAAUCUUCCGCAAUGGGCGAAAGCCUGACGGAGCAACGCCGCGUGAGUGAUGAAGGUCUUCGGAUCGUAAAACUCUGUUAUUAGGGAAGAACAUAUGUGUAAGUAACUGUGCACAUCUUGACGGUACCUAAUCAGAAAGCCACGGCUAGCUACGUG
rnacentral:rRNA from 1 species